AGUCUGAAGGCUGAUUGCCCUGGGUAAGGAUCUGAUCCAAGGAAGAGCUGGAAUUUCUGGAGAGCCCUGAGGUGCUGUAUCUACCACAGACUAUGGUAACAAAGUCAUAUAAUAUACAUUUGCCUAAGAUCAAGAAAGACUAAACACAAAGAGACAGAGGCUGCCAUGUGCUCAUUGUCUCCAAGGCCAGACAUGUGUGAAUGGAAAAUGAGCUGGGCUGCUAAAGUAGCAUGGGCAAAGAAGAUGCUAUGAACAGCUUUUGUGCUCCAGUGGUAUCCAUGAACCUCAAGAAAGACUUCCAGGAUUUUGCAUAGACGUCUGUUUGUUUGCAGGAGGAUGUAAGCAAGAGUUGUACAAGUUGAGAAGGCAAGCGGGAGGAGGGAGUAGAAAUCACAGGGAUGAAAAAAGCAAAGGCAUUUGAAGCUUAUUUUCUCUUCUCUUGAAAUUUACACAAAAUUAACUUCACACCAGAAAACUUGUUAAGCAAGUAGAAUAAGGGGCAUCGGAAGAUGCAGGGGGAGCCAUCCCUCACCCAUCACAAAGUCAAGGUCAGCUAAGUCAAGUUCGGCGGCUCAGAGACCAUCCCACAACUGCAUUCGUAGUACCACCACCAACCCCCCAGACUCCGAUCUUCCUGGACUCACAUCUCCAAGGCUCAGGAAGCGGCAGUGGCAACUAAUCGAAUCCUCCGGCCCCGCCCUCCCGAC